rnacentral:rRNA from 1 species
GAGUUUGAUCCUGGCUCAGAUUGAACGCUGGCGGCAUGCCUUACACAUGCAAGUCGAACGGCAGCACGGGAGCUUGCUCCUGGUGGCGAGUGGCGAACGGGUGAGUAAUGCAUCGGAACGUAUCCUGGAGUGGGGGAUAACGUAGCGAAAGUUACGCUAAUACCGCAUAUUCUGUGAGCAGGAAAGCGGGGGACCUUCGGGCCUCGCGCUCUUGGAGCGGCCGAUGUCGGAUUAGCUAGUUGGUGAGGUAAAGGCUCACCAAGGCGACGAUCCGUAGCAGGUCUGAGAGGAUGAUCUGCCACACUGGAACUGAGACACGGUCCAGACUCCUACGGGAGGCAGCAGUGGGGAAUUUUGGACAAUGGGGGCAACCCUGAUCCAGCCAUGCCGCGUGAGUGAAGAAGGCCUCGGUGU